CGGGAUGAGCUCAAAUUUAAAAUCUGGCGGCCUCAGGUCGUCCGAGUUGUAGUCUAGAGAAUCGUUUUCCGCGUUGGCCUGUGUACAAGUCCCUUGGAACAGGGCGUCAUAGAGGGUGAGAAUCCCGUCCUUGACACAGAUUACCAAUGCUUUGUGAUGCGAUCUCGAAGAGUCGAGUUGUUUGGGAAUGCAGCUCAAAAUGGGUGGUAAAUUCCAUCUAAAGCUAAAUAUUGGCGAGAGACCGAUAGCGAACAAGUACCGUGAGGGAAAGAUGAAAAGCACUUUGGAAAGAGAGUUAAACAGUACGUGAAAUUGUUAAAAGGGAAACGAUUGAAGUCAGUCAUGCUUUCCGAGACUCAGCCGAUUCUGUCGGUGUACUUCUCGGUUGGCAGGCCAGCAUCAGUUUCGAUCUGUGGAAAAGGUUGGAGGGAACGUGGCAUCCUCGGAUGUGUUAUAGCC
rnacentral:rRNA from 1 species